AGCGAACGCUGGCGGCAGGCCUAACACAUGCAAGUCGAACGAACCCUUCGGGGUUAGUGGCGGACGGGUGAGUAACACGUGGGAACGUACCUUUAGGUUCGGAACAACACAGGGAAACUUGUGCUAAUGCCGAAUGUGCCCUUCGGGGAAAGAUUUAUCGCCUUUAGAGCGGCCCGCGUCUGAUUAGCUUGUUGGUGAGGUAAAGGCUCACCAAGGCUUCGAUCAGUAGCUGGUCUGAGAGGAUGAUCAGCCACACUGGGACUGAGACACGGCCCAGACUCCUACGGGAGGCAGCAGUGGGGAAUCUUGCGCAAUGGGCGAAAGCCUGACGCAGCCAUGCCGCGUGAAUGAUGAAGGUCUUAGGAUUGUAAAAUUCUUUCACCGGGGAAGAUAAUGACGGUACCCGGAGAAGAAGCCCCGGCUAACUUCGUG
rnacentral:rRNA from 1 species